CGGGUGAGNAAUGUAUCGGAACGUGCCCAGUAGCGGGGGAUAACUACGCGAAAGCGUAGCUAAUACCGCAUACGCCCUACGGGGGAAAGCAGGGGAUCGCAAGACCUUGCACUAUUGGAGCGGCCGAUAUCGGAUUAGCUAGUUGGUGGGGUAACGGCUCACCAAGGCGACGAUCCGUAGCUGGUUUGAGAGGACGACCAGCCACACUGGGACUGAGACACGGCCCAGACUCCUACGGGAGGCAGCAGUGGGGAAUUUUGGACAAUGGGGGAAACCCUGAUCCAGCCAUCCCGCGUGUGCGAUGAAGGCCUUCGGGUUGUAAAGCACUUUUGGCAGGAAAGAAACGUCAUGGGUUAAUACCCCGUGAAACUGACGGUACCUGCAGAAUAAGCACCGGCUAACUACGUGCCAGCAGCCGCGGUAAUACGUAGGGUGCAAGCGUUAAUCGGAAUUACUGGGCGUAAAGCGUGCGCAGGCGGUUCGGAAAGAAAGAUGUGAAAUCCCAGAGCUUAACUUUGGAACUGCAUUUUUAACUACCGGGCUAGAGUGUGUCAGAGGGAGGUGGAAUUCCGCGUGUAGCANUGAAAUGCGUANAUAUGCGGAGGAACACCGAUGGCGAAGG
rnacentral:rRNA from 1 species